rnacentral:rRNA from 1 species
GAGCACGUAGGUGGGUUUGUAAGUCAGAUGUGAAAGCCUUCUGUUCAACGGAAGAAUUGCAUCUGAAACUGCGAGUCUUGAGUGUUGGAGGGGAGAAUGGAACUUCUGGUGGAGCGGUGAAAUGCGUAGAUAUCAGAAGGAACUCCGGCGGCGAAAGCGAUUCUCUGGCCUAUUACUGACACUCAGUGUGCGAAAGCUAGGGGAGCAAACGGGAUUAGAUACCCCGGUAGUCCUAGCCGUAAACGAUGGGCACUAAGUAGAGGGGUUUU